rnacentral:rRNA from 1 species
GAUGGUUGUCGUCAGCCCGUGUCGUGAGAUGUUGGUUAAGUCCCGCAACGAGCGCAACCCCUAUUGUUAGUUGCCAUCAUUCAGUUGGGCACUCUAGCGAGACUGCCGGUAAUAAACCGGAGGAAGGUGGGGAUGACGUCAAAUCAUCAUGCCCCUUAUGACCUGGGCUACACACGUGCUACAAUGGUUGGUACAACGAGUUGCGAGUCGGUGACGGCGAGCUAAUCUCUUAAAGCCAAUCUCAGUUCGGAUUGUAGGCUGCAACUCGCCUACAUGAAGUCGGAAUCGCUAGUAAUCGCGGAUCAGCACGCCGCGGUGAAUACGUUCCCGGGCCUU